rnacentral:rRNA from 1 species
UGGGGAAUAUUGGACAAUGGGCGCAAGCCUGAUCCAGCCAUGCCGCUUGAGUGAUGAAGGCCCUAGGGUUGUAAAGCUCUUUCACCGGAGAAGAUAAUGACGGUAACCGGAGAAGAUGCCCCGGCUAACUUCGUGCCAGCAGCCGCGGUAAUACGAAGGGGGCUAGCGUUGUUCGUCUUUACUGGGCGUAAAGCGCACGUAGGCGGACUAUUAAGUCAGGGGUGAAAUCCCGCGGCUCAACCCCGUAACUGCCUUUGAUACUGGUAGUCUUGAGUUCGAGAGAGGUGAGUGGAAUUCCGAGUGUAGAGGUGAAAUUCGUAGAUAUUCGGAGGAACAACAGUGGCGAAGGCGGCUCACUGGCUAGAUACUGACGCUGAGGUGCGAAAGAGUGGGGAGCAAACAGG